CUAACGCAAAUGAUAUUAUCAUUUUUAAAUCACUCUUCGAAAGAAACGUUUAAAUUUCCGUAAACAAUGUCACGAUUAUUCAUCGUCCUCUUUGUAACUUUUAUUUCAUUCGGAAUUGUCUUCACUGCGCCUGUAAGCGAUGAAGAUGAAGGAGAAAAUUCUCCGGGAUGGAUGGAAAUGGUCGAAGUGGCGACGAAACUAAUAUCUUUCCAGAAUCCCAAAAUAGCGCAUUUGAUUCAGAAAAUCACCAAGAAUAUGCAGGGAAUUCCAGCUGAUCACGUGCGGGAACUGCUUAAUGAAAAAUGUACGUCAAUGGCGCAAGCAUGGACCUGUUUCGAUCAGGUGAAGGAGAUUUUGUCAGAAAAUGUCAACGAAAUCUACGAAACCGCAGAAUUGUUUAAGGGCGUCGUUUUUUAAACUAUAAUCAACAAAACUAAAAAUUAACUAAAAGAGAAACACGUUGAUAAUGCGGCCAUUUUGUUUUUAUUUUAUGUUCGGUUUUAUGUCAAAUUUUGUUAAGUUUAAUUAAAUAUUCAACGAUAAGAUAAAAAAAAAUUAAGGUUUUACGUACGUAUCAUGUAAAUAAACGCAGAUAAUUACGAUAAAAAUGUAAUGACCUUCAAGGACCUUGACAUUAAUAUCCUUAAUAUUAAUGUACUUUUCUAUUGCUCCAUUUUAAUUAAUAAUGGACAGGGAACUUGCGAUUUUUACGACAAAUUGCAUAAUUAUAAUUCUUAUUUCGACUAUUUUUCUCAUUUAGGUCACCUCGGUUUUAAAUUUUAAUUGUUUAAUCAGCAAAUUGUUAAUAACCGCCUUAAUUCGGUAUAAUCCUACUUUUACUGAUUAGUCUCGCAAAAUUUUAUAUUUUUUCAUGUUUUAAGCAAAUUUUCUAUAAGCGUCUUACUCUUCAACUGGUCUACAUCUACAAUUUAAUACAAAAUUCAAAAUGGCGCUUCUGAAGUCUAGUUUCCUGUUUGUUUUACUAUUCGCCGUAGUGUUUGCCGUCACUGGAAACGCCAGAGCCGACGAAAACAAAGAACUUGCUUCAAUACUUUCCGAACAUAUCAAGAAUGACGUCUCCAACAACCGAAUCGAAAAUCCCGAAACCUACUUUUCGGAUUUGGGCAAUCUACUCAAGAAUACGCCAUUUUCCAGUAUUCUAGAUGGUGAACUUUACCCAGAUGUUUGUGGAUUGGAAAUGCUAAACGAAAAUUAUCAAUUCUGCGCAUCGUACAUUUUAUCCGAAUUAGACAUGGCUAUGGAAUAAAAAAUCACCAAAAAAUGAAAAUGUAUAUCAAAAAUUUGUUAAGUGUUAAAAAUUAAUACACGUAGAAUAAAAUAUCUUGAACUUUUUAAA